rnacentral:lncRNA from 1 species
AAAGAAAAAGGAUUAGAAUAAAUAACAAUAAAAUGAAAAAAAAUACUUACCUAAGCUUUCUUGUGCGCCAAAACUAUCUCCAAGGUCAAUGAUAUCAUUUUGAUCUCCCAAAUCAGCAUGGAUCAAGUAUCUCUCGUUCAAAAACAAACCAUCAACACUAAACAUAAAAAUAUUAGGCACAUGAGUGUUCAAGUAAAAAAUAACUUGUAACUUUCUUUGAAUAUGCAUGGUCAUCCAUAAGAAUUUCC